AGUACAAGAAGAAUUUCCUCUGGGUAGCGGCUGCUACUUGUUGUGAGUCUGGGGGAAACACUAUUGGAGGUGACAAGAGUCCAAACUGCAAUGAUGUGCCACAUUCACCCAGCUGCAUCUGAACUGAAGCAGGGCCCCAGCCAAGCCUUGCCUGAGAUCAGCAGACCCUCGAUGACCCACAAAAAUAUUGCUUGAAAAAAAAAAAAAAUACACGCACUGAAAAUGGCCAGAAUUGGUGAGGAUAAGUAUCUGCUUAGGACACAGAAGUCAAUUACACCCAAACCCUGGAUGGAAUCAGAAUCAGAAUCAGCCAUGCAAUGCAGAAGAAGAAAUGUAAGUUGCGGCCUGUGAUUCCAACAGUUCUCUUUCUGGAAUGGCUACCAAGAGAAAGUGUCCUGCAAAUCACAGUGUCCAACAGAAUCAACACUGCUAAACACACUCCCACUGGAGUACGGAGAAAGGGGAUCCACAGAAGAGCCUAAUCCUGAACCACUUCCAUGUAUUUGCCCAUCCAUUUCUCCUCUCUGGCCAAUACUCUUCAUAUUCAA
rnacentral:antisense_RNA from 1 species